rnacentral:rRNA from 1 species
UACGUAGGGGGCGAGCGUUGUCCGGAAUUAUUGGGCGUAAAGGGUUCGUAGGCGGUUAUUUAAGUCAGGUGUGAAAGGCAUGGGCUUAACCUGUGUAAGCACUUGAAACUGGAUAACUUGAGUUAAGGAGAGGAAAGUGGAAUUCCUAGUGUAGCGGUGAAAUGCGUAGAUAUUAGGAGGAAUACCAGUGGCGAAGGCGACUUUCUGGACUUAUACUGACGCUGAGGAACGAAAGCGUGGGGAGCAAACAGG